UACGGAGGGUGCAAGCGUUGUUCGGAAUUAUUGGGCGUAAAGCGCGUGUAGGCGGUCACUUAAGUCUGAUGUGAAAGCCCAGGGCUCAACCCUGGAACUGCAUUGGAUACUGGGUGACUUGAGUACGGGAGAGGGAAGCGGAAUUCCGAGUGUAGGGGUGAAAUCCGUAGAUAUUCGGAAGAACACCAGUGGCGAAGGCGGCUUCCUGGACCGAUACUGACGCUGAGACGCGAAAGCGUGGGGAG
rnacentral:rRNA from 1 species